UAGGGAAUAUUGGUCAAUGGACGCAAGUCUGAACCAGCCAUGCCGCGUGCAGGAUUAAGGCCUUAUGGGUCGUAAACUGCUUUUAUAUGGGAAGAAACCCUUGGUCGUGACCGAGGUUGACGGUACCAUAGGAAUAAGGAUCGGCUAACUCCGUGCCAGCAGCCGCGGUAAUACGGAGGAUCCGAGCGUUAUCCGGAUUUACUGGGUUUAAAGGGUGCGUAGGCGGAUUGAUAAGUCAGAGGUGAAAUCCAACAGCUUAACUGUUGAACUGCCUUUGAUACUGUCAGUCUUGAGUAUAGUUGGAGUGGAUGGAAUUUGUCAUGUAGCGGUGAAAUGCUUAGAUAUGACAAAGAACACCAAUCGCGAAGGCAGUUCACUAAACUAUAACUGACGCUGAGGC
rnacentral:rRNA from 1 species